AGGUUUGCACAGAGGCAGAAUCAUAGUCAAUGAGGUUUAUCUGAGGCAUGAUUAUUGCUAAUUAAAAAAAAAAAGUGGGAGAAACCAGCCCCAGGGAUUCCCUCCGCCAGUUUGCACGCUGAAUCCACUGCUGUUCCUGGUCCUUGCUUAGGAACUGCCUGCCCCGCCCCGGG
rnacentral:snRNA from 1 species